AGGUGGGCGGCAGAGUUGGAGAGCUGCGCCGGACUGUAAAUCCGGUGCCUCAGGCUGAGUGGGUUCGAAUCCCACCCCACCUACCA
rnacentral:tRNA from 1 species